GGAUGUGAGAGCAAUCUGGCUGAGCCAUCUGUCACCUCACUGAUAGUCAGGGUUGGUUCGGCUGAUCUGGCUGCCCAGGCAGGUGUCCACUUCGUCCCUCACCACUCGAAGUCCAUUCCUCCUGACGCUGUGCUCUUGGUCGAAGAGGAUCACCAUCCUUACUAGAGGAGGUCUGCUCAAGGGUAUAUUAGUAGCUAUGUUGCCCUGCUAGAACUUCCAAACAAGCUUUCAAGGUCCACUUGUAGGAGAAUGUACGGCAGUCAAGCUCCCAAGCUUCCAAGACCCCAGACCCAUCCUAAUGAGGCACUGCAAGUGGCAGCCUGCCUUUCUUA
ensembl:misc_RNA 7SK 7SK RNA